rnacentral:rRNA from 1 species
AUUGAACGCUGGCGGCAGGCUUAACACAUGCAAGUCGAGCGGGGUGAUGGUGCUUGCACUAUCACUUAGCGGCGGACGGGUGAGUAAUGCUUAGGAAUCUGCCUAUUAGUGGGGGACAACAUCUCGAAAGGGAUGCUAAUACCGCAUACGUCCUACGGGAGAAAGCAGGGGAUCACUUGUGACCUUGCGCUAAUAGAUGAGCCUAAGUCGGAUUAGCUAGUUGGUGGGGUAAAGGCCUACCAAGGCGACAAUCUGUAGCGGGGCUGAGAGGAUGAUCCGCCACACUGGGACUGAGACACGGCCCAGACUCCUACGGGAGGCAGCAGUGGGGAAUAUUGGACAAUGGGGGGAACCCUGAUCCAGCCAUGCCGCGUGUGUGAAGAAGGCCUUAUGGUUGUAAAGCACUCUAAGCGAGGAGGAGGCUCUUUUGGUUAAUACCCAGAAUGAGUGGACGUUACUCGCAGAAUAGGCACCGGCUAACUCUGUGCCAGCCGCCGCAGUAA